rnacentral:rRNA from 1 species
AUUGAACGCUGGCGGCAGGCCUAACACAUGCAAGUCGAGCGGAUGAAGGGAGCUUGCUCCUGGAUUCAGCGGCGGACGGGUGAGUAAUGCCUAGGAAUCUGCCUGGUAGUGGGGGAUAACGUCCGGAAACGGGCGCUAAUACCGCAUACGUCCUGAGGGAGAAAGUGGGGGAUCUUCGGACCUCACGCUAUCAGAUGAGCCUAGGUCGGAUUAGCUAGUUGGUGGGGUAAAGGCCUACCAAGGCGACGAUCCGUAACUGGUCUGAGAGGAUGAUCAGUCACACUGGAACUGAGACACGGUCCAGACUCCUACGGGAGGCAGCAGUUGGGAAUAUUGGACGAUGGGCGAAAGCCUGAUCCAGCCAUGCCGCGUGUGUGAAGAAGGUCUUCGGAUUGUAAGGCACUUUAAGUUGGGAGGAAGGGCAGUAAGUUAAUACCUUGCUGUUUUGACGUUACCAACAGAAUAAGCACCGGCUAACUUCGUG